rnacentral:lncRNA from 1 species
CAGGGAAGCAGGAGAGUGAGAGCUGGGGUGACAAAGGCAGCGGCCCCGCCCCAUGGGCCCUUGUCUGGCAGGUGGUGGGGAAACCUAAGGUCAAAGAAAGGCAGACUUUUUGUGUGGUGGGUGGCUCGGCCAGCUGAGCCAUCCUCCGGGUGCGCCCGCGGAGGAGGGUUUCAGCGGGCACAGCCGGGAGGCCUACGUGUCCAGGCACAAACCGCGGAGAAGCCCGGAUGGCUCCCCUCGCAGUCCCGGCAGAGAAACCGGAAACCGAGGGCGGAAGUUCAAGCCACGAGCGGCCCCCGAGCCCAGCGGAGCACGACGCCCCCAUGAGCGCACAGGAGGUUCUGUUCCCAGCCCGAGGCGCCUGGAGGAGCCAAAGCACCGGCCUAGAUCGCCAGGGAGGACCAGUGGCCCGGAACGCCGCGUUGACGACCGGGAGGAGCGACCCACCUCCCCAAAGCGCCGCCGACGCCUCUCCCCAGAAGCCUGGGUCUCCCUCCCGUGCCCGCUGUCGCGAGUCGUCAACCACCUGAC